CCCUUAGAUGUUCUGGGCCGCACGCGUGCUACACUGAGUAAUUCAAUGGGUAAGGGAACGCUAGAGCAUUACCUAAUCUUGAAAUUUGCUCGUGAUGGGGAUCGACGGUUGCAAUUUUCCGUCGUGAACGAGGAAUACCUUGUAGGCGCAUGUCAUCAUCAUGCGCCGAAUACGUCCCUGCCCUUUGUACACACCGCCCGUCGCUCCUACCGAUUGAGUGAUCCGGUGAGGCUCUGGGACCUGGACGGAAAGAGCGUUUCGCUUGUUCUGUUUGGGAAACUUGGUCGAACCUUAUCAUUUAGAGGAAGGAGAAGUUGUAACA
rnacentral:rRNA from 1 species